rnacentral:rRNA from 1 species
GAUUGCAGGCUGCAACUCGCCUGCAUGAAGUCGGAAUUGCUAGUAAUCGUAGGUCAGCAUACUACGGUGAAUACGUUCCCGGGCCUUGUACACACCGCCCGUCAAACCAUGAGAGUUGGCAACACCCGAAGUCGGUAGUCUAACCGCAAGGAGGACGCCGCCGAAGGUGGGGUUGAUGAUUAGGGUUAAGUCGUAACAAGGUAAC